AGCCCGCUGGAAAUGCUCCAUCCGCUGCCUCUCGCGGGACACGAUCACCCCAAGGUAGCUGUGCCAGAGGGAAGUGUUGGCUUCCAUGGCAGCUCUGCUGCUAUCUUACGAGCAGGAGUAAAAAGGGUUAUUUCCAGUUCGUCCUUGUGCCUCCUUCAGUUCCCCGUGGCUGAAGAGCUGCCCUGCAGGUAGGAGUCUGUCCCUCACGGUCGUCUGCCCUUCUGCCAGCCGACUGGAGGAGCUCUGCUUUCCAAGGGUCAGAGAUUCCGCCUACAGAGCAUCCUUGAGCGCCUGCAGUUCGAGUCAUUAAGCCUGCACCGGGCUUCUUACUACCAGGAGGCUGUGGGUGCUCUGGGCUGGGGAGUCUCAGCCAGCUUUUAAACCCCUGACAGUGGGUGAUGGGCUCUCCUUACCUGAGCCCUGUGCUUCGGGUUUCACCCCAUCUGAGCAGGGGGCCCCCACACCAAUGGCUGUCUCAACCAGGGCUGAGGGUGCAGGUCUUACCCUCCUCCAUCAUGUGAAGACAAACUGGCUGGAGUCCCAGUGAGGGACCAAAAGCAACAGACCCCCAUCAGAGUGGCUUGGGCUCAUCCUGAAGAAUGCUGAACCCAAGCCAGGCAAGACAGAUUACUGCUUCAUGCCUUGAUGAGGGAAAAAGAGGGCAGAGAGAUGCAGCCCACCACUUUUCUGGGGGUGGUGGGGCAUGGCUCACUGCUGGCAGGGUUGCUGUGUCCCCAUGGAGCAUCACUUUGUCAUGGAUGGAGUCCCUGCUGCUGCAGCAGCAGCCAGGGCAUUCCUUCUGUCAGUGCCUGGCAGGAAUGCUGGAGGGGGCUGUGGGCAUCAUGCAGAAGCUGAACUGAGAGCCAGGAGUGGUACUAUGGGAAGUGCUGGCUGAGCCCACAGCGUGGCCCUGACAUCCUGCUGCCAGAGUGCUGAUGCCAGGAGGAGCGAGUGUGACCUCGGCUCAUCUCUGCCUUUGACAUCUGCACUUUUUGGACCUCUGGGUGCCACAAUCAAGAGGCAAGGGGCCAGGCGCAGACCCUGGAGGAGCAUCUUCCUGGCUGCUGCCAGGCACAGGCAGCACAGAGAGUGACCCUGCUGCAGGCACAGUGUGAGAAGGAAGAGUGAUGCUGGGUAGUGGCAUGUUUGGUGACAAAGCUGGCCAGCCAGAAGAGGUGGGAGCAGCUGGAGAUGCUGCCAGAUGCUGAGCAAUGCUCUGAGCAGGAGGGAGCACAGCUGGCGAGGGGAGGGAAUGCUGUAGAUCAGGUAGUGGGGGACAGAAGCUCCAUCCCACAUGGGUGGGUGGCUGAGCCCUGGCUGGGGCUGUGCUACAUGGGAUGAGCCGUAGGGCAGGCACACUGCAUGGCUGGACAUUUGGGGCAGCACCUGGACACUCAACCCCACAACCAGCCCAAGCUGAGCACACUUCUACUGGCCCAAAGACAGCGGGAAAAAAUUCCUAGCGAGAAGGUCCAUAGUUAGACUGUGGAAGACAUGGCUGGAGUGCACAGUGUCCUGUCUGGACAAGUCACUGGAGGCUGGUGGCAAGUGCCCUGGUACUGGCAGACGGUCUGGCCUGAAUGAGCUAAUCACUGUUUCCAUCUCAGCAUUUUAUGGUUCCAUGAAUUUUUGCUCUGUUAGAAACAGGAGAGAGAAAACAACCCCAAAAAUAAAGGGCAAGUACAAGCAAGAGAGAGGAAAAAUCCUGGCGGCAUGGGAGCACUUGGCACAGCAGAGGUGGGCGAGGAGCUGCAAUGAGCCCCCAGUGUCCCUCACCCAGCUUGCCUCUCUGUAGGGUUGUGCAGUGUGACUGCUGCACCCCAGGCCCUGCAAGAUGCCGUCAUCACCCAGCAGAAAGGUACUGGGGUGCUGAGCUGGUGGGUUGAGGAGAUAAAGGGGCACAGGGGCACUGGGAUGCAGGGGGUAGGUUAUGCUCUGCCCCAGCACUGCAAGUCCCACACUUCUGCACCCCACAAGCCCCCUGAGUGGCAUGGCCCCCAACAAAACAGCUGGGAUGGGGAGGGGGGACAAAAGCAGGGAAGGUAGAGAGGAAGAGAGAGUAAUUUAACAUGACAGGCUGUUUAUUUUGGCAAAAAGGGUUUCUUUUCAACAGAUUUCAAAGCUCGGC